AUUACCGUCAGGUAGGAGGUACAGAAGCCUGAAGUCACACACUCAGCGAUUCAGGAACAGCUUCUUCCCCUCGGCCAUCCAAUUCCUAAAUCGACAUUGAACACGUGAACAUUACCUCACUUUUUAAAUACUGUUUCCCACCACCAUGAGGGUGACCAAGAAGUCCUUUCACAUCAGCAAAGAUGUGUUAAAACACUUGACCUUCGGAUUCCAGAGCACCAAAGACCAGAUUCAGUGGAUGUUGUGGAACAGGCCUAUAGUUAAGGCAAGGCCUAUAUUCCCUAAACUCCAACACCAAGUCUGGGAGGCAGUGGAUCACAGCAGAGAGUGGGUGGAGAGACACAAGGGAUUGCAGGAGCUGGAGAAAUUCAGCUGUGUUUCAAGAUACAACACUGUUACAAAUUGUAACAAUAAACACAGAAUGGAAGUCGCCACCUCAUGUUAAUAAUCUGCUGGCCUGCUAAACACUGACGGAAAAGAGAAUGCUGUACAACUUACAAAAAAUACUGAGCUACUAUUACCAACUAUGACAAAAGCAUUAAUUCAAAAGUACCACGGCACUACUAUGAUUUCAAAUAUGUUCAUUUUUGAGGAAGUUAAGGAUGGCUCA